UACCUAUCGUUUUCCAAAACUGCAGAUGA
rnacentral:piRNA from 1 species